rnacentral:rRNA from 1 species
AUUAGUGGCGGACGGGUGAGUAACGCGUGGAUAACCUGCCGUAUACAGGGGGAUAACACUUAGAAAUAGGUGCUAAUACCGCAUAAGCGCACGGUUCCGCAUGGAACAGUGUGAAAAACUCCGGUGGUAUACGAUGGAUCCGCGUCUGAUUAGCCAGUUGGCGGGGUAACGGCCCACCAAAGCGACGAUCAGUAGCCGGCCUGAGAGGGUGAACGGCCACAUUGGGACUGAGAUACGGCCCAAACUCCUACGGAAGGCAGCAG